rnacentral:rRNA from 1 species
AACCAGCACCUCAAGUGGUCAGGAUGAUUAUUGGGCCUAAAGCAUCCGUAGCCGGCUCUGUAAGUUUUCGGUUAAAUCUGUACGCUCAACGUACAGGCUGCCGGGAAUACUGCAGAGCUAGGGAGUGGGAGAGGUAGACGGUACUCGGUAGGAAGGGGUAAAAUCCUUUGAUCUAUUGAUGACCACCGGUGGCGAAAGCGGCUGGCUGGGGCCACUCUGACGCUGAGGCGCGAAAGCGUGGGGAGCAAACAGG